ACGUUAGCGGCGGACGGGUGAGUAACACGUGGGUAACCUACCUAUAAGACUGGGAUAACUUCGGGAAACCGGAGCUAAUACCGGAUAAUAUUUCGAACCGCAUGGUUCGAUAGUGAAAGAUGGUUUUGCUAUCACUUAUAGAUGGACCCGCGCCGUAUUAGCUAGUUGGUAAGGUAACGGCUUACCAAGGCGACGAUACGUAGCCGACCUGAGAGGGUGAUCGGCCACACUGGAACUGAGACACGGUCCAGACUCCUACGGGAGGCAGCAGC
rnacentral:rRNA from 1 species